UUCGGUUUGGAAAUAGUCGUGCUUUGUGAAUGGUUUGUGUGUAAGCGGACUCACGAUCAUCCCAAGAUUCAGAUUUGACUAAAGCAGCGUGAAUUUUGCCGAGGCUUUUAAUUGUGUUUUGGACGACAUGCAUUCAAGUUUUAUCCCUCUAUUUGAAUUAAAAAUGAGCAUGCAGGAGAAUUUAUCAGCCGUGUUUCCAGCCUCGGGUCAGAGUGGAACAGAGUUGAAAUAUGUUUGAAGACACCGUCAGUGGUUGUUCAGGUGUUGGGAGACUUGUGUGCCCAGGGGUGGUGUUGCAAAGGUGACUCUGACUCUCCAGGUUCAGAUCUGCUCAGUCCUCUUCGAACAAGCUGCGAAGGUUUUCUGCAUCGCUUCAGGGAACUUCUGACUCAGGAGUGUUACUCAUGCGUUUUAUCUGGUAUUAAAAGCAAAACAGCCUCCGCUUAGUUAUCCGGUUCUGAGAAGUGGAUCUGUGUUUUGAUUUUCAAUGGGUUAAAAGUGAUGCACAGUCGAAUUCAACCAUCAAAAUUGAGCGUAGAGUAAGUCCAGGCAGGCCACAAGUCGAGCUCAGACACUGUCAAGCAAAGAUGGUGUCCAGUUUUAACUAUCAGCUCGCCUACUCAUGCUGCCAUCAAGGAAAUUUACCAUAAACAUAUUGCCGUGUUCCAGUUUCAUUUAAUUUAAUUUUCAUACUUUAUUUCAUUCAGUUAUUAUUUAAAACAUUCAAUACCAAGAAGGAAAAAUCUCAAACGUGAAUGUGAAUGAAAAGGAGCAGAAAGAAGAAAACUCUUAUCGAGUCUGCCCCUCUUUCAUAAUAUAUUAAUCAACUAAACACAUAAAAUAAACCAGAGCUGCAGGCCAACAUGCCUUUUUACAGGUCAAUAUUUCUCAUCUUCAAAAACAACCCGCAAAACGAUCAGAAAACACCACGUUAAGACUUAGAUCAACGUAUUCCCCUGUAUUUAAUCAAUAUACUGGCUUUGACACUUUUUUUGAAGAUAAACUUUGAUUUAGCUUCUUUAGUUUCUUUGUUCAGAUUGUUCCACAAACUUACUCCUCUCACUGUAACACAGCGCUCUUUCAGUUUAGUUCUGAAUCUUGGCUUUUUAAAUGUUUCAAAUCCUUUUAAAUUAUAUUUCUCUUUUUUCAAAUCGGCUCUGGAUGUACACUGGUAAAAUGUUCCUAUGAGCUUUAUACAUAAUCUGCAACAUAUUGAAAUCGAUUUACUCAAAACUCCAAGUUGGAAAUUCAUCUGGAACACCCCCCUGAAGUCAGAUUUCAGACUCGGAAAGUUGGACGAUCCUCACCAACCCCGACUUGACAACAACGUCAUAAUCCAAGAUGGCAGCACAGAGCAUCAACAGUAAACAGUAACAGAGAAAGUUCUCAUGAUGUUUUAUUAAUCAGCAUUCCUGUUUUGUUUUUGUGAAAUUAAAUAAGUGGUUUAUGUUGUACUGCCAAACGUCUUACUGUGAACACGGUGCUAUGGUGUUUGUAAGAGUAAAAUACUGUGUUAUGUGUUGUUUACAUCUGGUAUAGUGAACAACAACUAACAACAGCUGACAACAGCUAACAACAGCUUACAAUGGCUAACAACAGUUAACAGCCGCUAACAAUAGCUGACAACUGCUAACAACAACGGGCAAUGGCUGACAACAGCUGAUAGUUGUUAACAACAGCAAACAAUGGCUAACUGUAGGCGUCCAUCUUGGUUUUUCGACUUGUUUAGUGGAACGCCGUCAACUUGGGUGUAACGUCAUUCUCAGCUCCGACUUCAGAGGUAGCAGGAACGCAGCAUAUGUCUUGUCACAGGGGUCUUAGUUGAUGCUCUACCUGCCUUCAUGUAGGAUCUCUCAGACAGUCAUUCUGCUGUGGUUUUAACUACUUUUCUUUUUGUGUAUUUCUCCUAAACAAAACAUUAUAAUAGCGCAGAAAGUAGAGUUCACCGGUGGAUGAACUGGGCCCACAUUUAGAGUUUGCAGUGCUGUUUAUUUAUAACAGGAGGAACAUAAUUUUUGUAAUUAUACUUUAGUUCUUGGCACAGAAACGCUACUUCUACUCUAUUUGUUCUGAAUUGUUCAGGUUUCUUAAUUGAGAUGUAAUGAGGACUAUUUUCCGCUCUUAAACGAUCAUCGCAUGGCAGCGGGGUUAUUAUGUUCCCGGGGCUAUGACCUUUUACCGGUGCCCCUCUUCCUGAUGCUUAUAAUGCUGGUGAUGCUGGAGUUGAAGCUAACACUGUAACACUCAUGUGAGCCAAAUGCCAGACAUGAAAAGUGAAGUCCAUCCAACCCUCUGAGUGUAAGCCCAGGAAAGAAACUUUAGAAAGAGGACCGCACUCCCUCCAAUGUUGCUGCUGCUGCUGUUUUGUUCCCUUUCACAAAAACAAUGUGUGCAGAUAAGGCUCCAAACCUUUGUUUUGUUAAAUUGCUAAUUGCCUCGGCCCUCGCACCGGUCCCCACCAGAGUUUGUGGCGGUGUGAACAUCAGGCACAAAUCAUCCCAAAUUCAGAGUGCUUGCCUAAUUAGUGGAGCAGCGCUGCAGAUCAAUGAACGGCGGUUUCACAAGGGAGCGACUUCUCUUCAGGGGCAGAUCGAGGGGGAAUUAAACAACUGUUAUUGAAAAUGACUGGGCCAGUAUUAGACUUAAGACAAUUUGCACUUUGUUCCCCUGUUGCUUACUCCUCAUUCUCUACGGUGGCUCAAAGAAAGGAGACCAAUCAGAAUUUGAUGAUUGUUUGGGGUUUGUUUACUCCUCUAUUUGUCGUUGCAGAUGAAGCUCGGGACUGUUGCGUCACCUUGACUAACUCGGGAGGUGCAACACUGGUCACGCACAGACUCUACGUUGUACACUUUGGACCUCAGUUUUCAGCCAUUUUCAGUACUGGUCUUACUAAAUCAGUGGUGUCAAGUUCCAUUAACCUCAAACUGGUCUUCAUGUCAAGUACAGAUACCUAAAAACUGGCUGAAAUCAGGGUUUAAUCUGACCCAACUGGGACCCAGACGCUACUGGACUGUUGCUAAUGGCACUCAUGGGCGUCAUACUGGUUCAUUUCAAAUGUACAUUGUCUGGUUUGCCUAUUUGUGGCUAAUCUCAACCCUGUACCAAGACCAGAUCAGCCCUAGUUGUCCAGGUAACAUUUAUGUGUAAUGUUGCGUUCCUACCAAGAUCAAGUAAAAUCCGCUACUUGCUUAAUUCACACCUAUCUGGACAUGCAAAUGUUGUGUAUUUACUCGCGUAGCUUGAUUCAUCACCGGGGAAUCUCCAUGCUGAUUGGUUAUCACAUUGCAAACAUUCACUUCAGUUAUUUUCAGCUAUUGGGAAUAAGGCGUUUGAAGCGAGUAGCACUCUGGAUGUGAUGAAAACUUAAGCAAAUAGUCAACGAAUUUACGUCAUUUGCGAGUGGAAUGCGCGUCCAAUCGCAUCUUUGCAUGGACUUUACAUGUAGUUCACUUGCACGGAUGAUUUUACUCAUGCUUUGUUUAACACUAGGUAAGGCUAUAUAGAGAGCCAAGGUUUAACCCAACCUUUCAAUAGCCAAGACCACCCAAGAAAGCACAUUAUUUAUCCAGGGUGACCAUAUUCUGAAUCCCCACCUCUAACUCAGGAAGUCCACGCGACACAAACUCAGAACUUCUAUACAAAACCCGGGACAUUUGAAGGAUUUGAGAAACUACCCCAGACAAAUCUGGACAAGGCCGGACAGCCCCCCCAAAAGAGGAGAUGCCCGGGUAAAAGAGGACUAUGAUCACCCUAAUUUAUCACAUUGUAAAAAUGGUGUUGGACUCCACGUUGGCAUGAUCCAUUGGGGUUUUGAAGUCUGAAAUUUUAGGUAGAGCCAAAGUGUAGCUAAGUGAUAAGGCAGACUAUGUUGAAGGUUCUACAGUCACCACCUCAGGUAAGGUUUAAAGUAUGCUUAUAAGAAAGUGUGGGUUUGAGUUUCCCACAGACUGAAAUAUGAUGUCUGGUGAUAUUUGACCAGACUUGCCUCAGAGACUCACUUUCUCCCAGUCGUCUGGACGAGUUAGCUCAACUUCUUCACAAAACUGUUUAAACUUCAAACAUGUAGUGGUGGCCCGACAUAACAGGCUGCAGGGAGAGUUUAAGCCACAACUAACCAGAGUAUCAUCUGACUUCAAACAGCCCCACUCUCACUGUGGACCCCCCCUCACUGCUGCUCAGUGAUAUCAAAGCUGUUGACAGUUUUGGCUCUUGUUCAGACAGACCUUUGAAUGUUUAAUGAAACAUGUUGCCCUCUUUGGUUACUGUGAUGAAUUGGGAUAAACUUCACUUUGACAGAUCAGUCGUUGUGCAUUCGUGUGCCGUUGUGUUUGGUUGAUAUGCAGAUUUUUGCCUGGGAGCGACACCGAAACGCCUUUUCAUGUCAAACAACCUGGAUCUCCUGUGCCAACAUGGCUGACAACAACACUGUCAGAUCAAAUCUUCAUAAACUCUCCUUAUAUGGUAGUUUGAGCUUGAAUCAGCACAGAGAGGAUACAUCGUAAUGAGUUUAAUGUCAUUACUGGGAGUUAUUUGCUUUGGUCCAAACUACAUUAGAGGUUUGGGCUUUUAUGCUUUUAUGCCUUCAGGUUUAUUUAGAUUCGAAUGGACUGAUUAUGAGCAAACCGGUGAAUAAAAACUCAAACUCUUUAUGUUCUGGUCACAAUUUGGAGACCAGGACAUGACGAGUUUGACUACGAAGUCAAGAUCAAGCAAGUUCAGAGGUUUUCUGACCUCUAUACUGACCAGUCAUGCCGAAAAAAUCAGAAUAUAUUCAGUCCAGUUAGCAGUUUGAUCUCACUAAUCCCGUCACUGUGAUCAGUUUCUUUACUUUUGCUUUUUCCUGUGGGUCUAAUUCUUCUCAUUCAAUGGUCAGAUCAGAUAUUUUGAGAGGGGUCUGGCUGCAGACCUCCACUGUGCAGACCAGAAGUUGUUUGACACCUUUCAAAAUAAAAGCAAAUACAUCGGGAGUUCUUUUCUGUUUUUACGUCCAAAGUUGAUUCAAAGCCUUUCAAACGAAAAGCAACACACUGGGAAGUAGAUAUUUUGUGUCUCGUGUGGAUCUAUAUUUUUUUUCCUUGGGACUUAUUUCAUGUAUAUGAUGUUGACGUGAACUUUUUGUGUAUUUAUGUGUUCAAUAAAGACAAAAAACAAAACAGAAUGACCUCCUCAAACAAACUGGAGUGUGUGAGAAAAAACAUGACCUCGGGUCCUCUUAGUGUAUGCCGACCAUACUGUCCUCUUUUUUGGGGCUUGUCCGGCUUUCUCCAGGGGAGUUUAUUAAAUCCUUCAAAUGUCCGGGGUUUUGCAUGGAAGUUUUGAGUUAGACUUACUGAGUUAGAAGCGCGUAAAAAAACCCCUAGGUCCAACCCGAAAAACUCUCAAAAUUAACCAUUGUAUAGGUGACUCUGCCCCACGUAGUCAUGUCCUCUUUUUAGGGGUUCAGAAUAUGGUCACCCUAUCUCAGCGGAGGUCUGCAGUUAGACUGUCGUGGAUAUUUUACUCCUCCCAAGCAAUUUAGUUCUUAUUUUGAGCGUAUGAUAUCUUGAAAUAAGACAUUUUCAGGUGAAUGUGGCUCAAAAAAAGUAAAUAAGACACAAAAAAUAAAACAUAAAACAUUAACUGAGAUUUGAAGUUGAACACUACCUCUCGUCACAAGGUGCAAUGACCGUCCUUUUCACUCAUUUUUGACCCAGUAGACUUAAAAGCAUUAAAACAUCAUAGGAGAAACAAAUGAGGAAGUGACAAUGUGGGACCUCCUGAUCGAACUGAGAUUAAAGUAAAACAUGCAGGUGCAUCUGUUCAGGGUUACAGAGUUCACAGGUCAAAUAAAUAUCAUUUCAAACCGUCUAAAACACUUCCUCAAAGUCUGCUUUACCAUCUGCUUUAAAGGUGGAGCUCUUGAGAGUGCACGCAGAUUAAUUAACAUGUUCUACACAUGGUUGAUACCGGAGCAGGAUUAACAAAUAGACAUUUUCUUUUACUCUUCGCAUGGAUACAACAGCGGCUGCCUCUAUUCAAUUCGACUUUCAAUGCAUGAGCUGCUGUGGGGCUGAUUAUCUGCUCUACUGUAUGAACAGAAGCAGCAGCAGCAGCAGCAGCAGUGUUUGCAGGAGUUUCAGCAGACUUGGGGGAUCAAGGAGCUGAUCUGCAGGCGUAGAGAAGACGUGGUCGCUCAAAUGAGCUGCAGAGGUGCGCCGAGGUAGAUAUACCUCACACACCGUGCAAGAAAAUGAAAAGAUAGAUUGAAUGCGCUUGUCUCUGCAAAAUGAGCCGAAGCUAAAGCGCUACUGAAUGCAUGUUUAGCAUGAGAGAGCCACAAACACAAGGUUUAAAUGGCGACUGUUGUUAUUGUUUCAGUGACGCUAAUGGAAUAGGGAGUAAUAACUUCUAUAAUGACGAGUAUCUGAUCUGCUUUUAAUGCUGCUGCAGUCUGCAGUCAAUAACAGCCCAGGGAAAAUUGAAUCUUCAGUCAGCUCAGCAGGGCCUCCACUGUGUUUCCAUACCUGCACCUGUCAGCCUGUAUACACGGCUUGCCUAUCAUUCUCAAUAUCAGUGCAAUCAGCUGUGGCCGCUCUCAGUCGGCGCCGCGCAACGUGUCCACGGUGCAGAUUAACUCUGCAAAUGCAUUGAAGUACCUCGAGCUGUUUUUCGGCGUUGUCUUAUCCUCUCGCCGUGUCUUUUGACAGGCUCGUAAAUAAUGCAGGAGGACUCUGCGAUGAUAACCCACUCUGAGGCGGAGUGUGCGCAUGCAGCAAAUACAACUUUUUCAGUUGUUUUUGUUUCUUUCUAUCUCCUCCUACAUCUCUUUGUCCUGCUGGUGGAGUUCGGGUCUGUUUCAGCCGCGUUUUAAAUUCACUUUCUGACUCUUGCUCUCUGCUUCCAUCAUACUCCGCUUGUCAUAUUUACACUUCACACCUCACUCACCGCCUUGGGCAACACAUCGAUGGACAAGUGAACAAGGUUUUCUGCAGUCCAUUCGGGAAAGCUGUUACCUCCAACAUGCUUUCACACACACACACACACACACACACACACACACACACACACACACACACACACACACACACACACACACACACACACACACACACGCGUUGAUAAUGAUGCUCCGCAGCCUUACAGUAGGACUCCGUGUCCAUGAAUUAAUGAGUGUUGCUUUAUUUUACUUCUUCUUGCUGUGGUCUGAUGGCGCACACAGGCCUCUGUCCUCACCUAGAAUGAGUAACCUUGCCGCUUAUUGAUUUUCCCUCUGUUUCAAAGCGCUGUGCAAAUACCUGUACGAGAACUCUUAGUGUGGGCUGUGAGAGAUAUUCCACGGACACAGGAAGGAGAGGUCUCUGUAUUAAGUGUCUUUAAACUGCUCUAGUUAAGUAGUAAAAGGAAAGUUUUGAAGAAAAUAAAGGAAACUAUCGAAGCUAAUAUCUGAGUAAAAACUAGAAAUCUGUACGGCUGUAAAGUCCUUGUCGAUACGUGCUGAGUCGACCAAAAUUCUGAUUGGUCGACUUGAUUUUUUCCUGCGUCCAUUUACAGUCUUUGGUUAAUUUCAUCAGGAGGAACGUACCAAGGGCUAAUGGGGUUAUUUUUAGAGCAUUCCUGUUUCACAGGUAACAUCUUGUCUCAGAACACCCCCCUUAUUUUCACCAUUUUGGAUUUGCCCAACUCACUGGAGACCGGAGCGUCCACAUUAAUCAAUGUACGAUAGUUUGCCUAAUAUAAUAUUUUUAGUAUUUGUAAUAUAAUAUUUGUAUUAAUAUUAUUUAUAUUGCCUGAUACCAGUAUAUUUUCACCCCGCUGAGCCUCGUCAUCCCUGCCAAAGAAGGGUUUCUGUCCGAGUUGGAAAAUCCCCCCGAUAUGUCGAUUUUUGGUCGAAAUUUUAAGGGUUUUAGUAAAUCAAGAAUUUCUUUAUUUGAUUACAGUCCUAAAAAUCUGGUGCUCGUCCCAGCAAGUAAAUUAUUAAAAGUAGAUAUUGAAUCGUCAGGUGUGGAACUGUUUCUCUUUCUCUUUUUGUGCAUCAUCUCCUACUUCUAUACAAUCUUGAAGACUUGGUUAAAAGGAGAAAUUUCACUCCCUAUGCUGCAUUAUUAGCUCCUUUGAAUUUCUAAUGUUCGAUGCAAAACUGAAGAUAGUAGUUGUAGCUCGAUUGAUCCCUUUUCAAACAAUGCCAUCUCUCUUUUGUCAUCAUUUUAACUGGAUUGGACGUCUAGCUGUGGUAGUAGUACACUUCAUUAACUUUGAUUUUACCUUAAUCUGCACCAAAUUGACAAUACUUUGCAGAAUUAUGUAUGGAAGGAGAAUCCAAACUAUUGAUCAAGGCAAAAAAACAAAUAAGGAAAAUGUUCGUUGAGGUAAAAAACAAGUAAAAAAGGAGUGCAGUCAUGAGUGAAGUCACAGAUUGCACUGAAAGGCAAAUUUAGCCCCAAAACUGAAAAACUUCAAAAACUUUUGGCCUUAAAAGUUCUCUCUUUUUAAGUAAAUAGUUUAUAGUUUUUAACUGAAAUACUUACACAGAUUAAAAGACAGUAAUUAAACAGUAAACUGAGCCUAGUGUUAGAUCUGUACAGUCACAUAAGUCUGCUCGGAACCCGAGUCUUGCUGCCGCUCCAUGUAUGCUCACGAAAGGGCCGGAAGCUCUUACUGCGCGCGAAUUCUGUAUUUUGAGCUCAUGACUUCGACCCCCUUGGUAUCCAAACUGCAAAACGUGUAUCCGCCACAUACAUGAAGAUUAACCAAUCAGGGCCUGACUUAGAAACACACACAGCUGCGAACAAAAUUCCUCGAAAUGAAAUGACAUUAUUUUAAUCGCCUGUCCAUGAUUUGGAUCAGGACCCAAAUGUCUGCGCCUGAUUCUUCUUCAUUGCUUCUUUGUGACUGAAACAGGUGUCUCAACUGACUGCCAAAGAAAUCUGCAUCUUUUCAACAUUAAUCCCGCUUUAUCAACCUGUUUCCACUUUUAAUUAACUCAUUUGUUCUGUGUUCACAACCGACUGAGUAAACAGCGCGCGGACAACCAAAAUAAAAUGUGAGCGUGUCUGCGGUAGACGGGAACAAGCCUGCCAACUGUCAUGUGUUCCUGUACCAAAACAAACACGGUCCGCCUCUCGCAGCUUUGCAGUGUUUUCAUGCAGUUUCAUUUGUAACUGGCAGCGUCUCUAAGGGAGGACGUCAGAUCUGGAUCUUCACGUAUCUGUUCGAUUUUUAAUUCCAUGUAGAAACAAACUGAGUAAGCAGUAGACCCAGUUUGAGACAGACGCGGCCCUGAACAAUCUUAGAAGACAUCAUAUUAACUCAUUCAGUGCCAGGUUCAUUCAUGCAGUUUUCACCCAGUUGGCCACCAUUGACUGCAGUAGAAAUUUCCGUUUCUUUCAGGACCCACAGAAUAUCUUGUGCUUGGACUAGAAUUAAGUCUCAAUUAAUUGUCUCCAACCCGAUCCUGUGUUAAGUUACUCCGUGCUCAAUGCAGCGUGGUCAUAUCAUCUUUGCCAAUCUGGAAAAACGCAAUUUUACAAAGUUAAGACUUUCGAGCAGAACUCUGAUUGUCCAUUUCAUUUCGCUUCAAACUAUUUUACUGGUGGCAUCAAGGUCCUCCCUCCUCAGAUACCACUCCUCAUCACUCUUGAGAUUCAGUUGUGACAGGUCACUUUGUGUCGUAUUGGCUCUCAAGAACCUGAUGCCGCGACAUAAACCACAGGGACUGCUCGCGUCUUCCUCACUGGGACGGUCACUGAAUUCCAGCUCAUGGAAAAAAUAGAACUCUUGUGAUCAGCGGCAGAGUCUGGCGAUCCGCAGCGAAACGGAACGAAGCCGGUGGAAAAUCGACACAUUUACUUAAAUGGUUACGAUCAGCUACGAUUGGCAGAUACGGCCUUUUCGUUGCCAUUCUAGAUGCGGUGGAAAUUGCCGGUCAGUCUCGCUCACGAGUAUCGGCAACGGCGACACAACUACACGCCAGAAAAUUGUUUUUUGAUUGUCUGUUGACGAUGUGAAGGUCCGGUACAGGGAUCUCUACUGGAUCCAGAGACCAUAGCACCAUGCCCACGGGAACCGAUGCAAUGACACCCUUAGCUCUUGGCUAAUGACUUCGGCAUCUUCCUACUGUCCUCAUAGAGAAAAAACACUCCACAGCUCGGCUAAUUGGCAAACUUGUUUUUGUUAUUGUAACAUGGUUAUGAUGUAUUUGUCGGCUUCUCUGCGUUCAGAACGACCCCAAACUUAAUCGCAUGUUCUGGUGGAAAACAAAAAAACGGAUAAAUCCGUCCAAAUCCAUCAAUGGCACUAAAUGAGUUAAAACCGCUGAAAAUAGAUGGAAUGGCAUGUUUUGCUCACACACAGUCAGACCCUGAAUCAUCAUCUGCUUAAACCUGCACACAUUAUUUUGAAUCUUCUUACUUUCGUUGUGCACCACUAAGACCUUAAACACUCAGUGAAAGUCGGUGCAGAUUUUGUAAAAAUAAUUUCCUUCACUGACAUGUUUAUCAGACUAGAUCAGGGAGAUGAUAGAUGCUGUGAUGCGCUGUCGUAGUGGCAGGUCGAUUAGCUUUAUUUAGCAGCAGAUCACAGCCGAAGAGAAAGUGUCUGAUCUUAAUUUUCCAGUCCGUCUGCUGAGGAACGCUGAGGCUCUAUCCUGCUUGUUUGUAUGCAAAUGCAACAUCCUUCCAAAUGACUUCCUUUAUGUAGGCGUUACUUACAGUAUGAGCCUGUGUGACUUAAUUAAAUCUCCCUCAUCAGAGGUAGACAGAUGGGUCAGGAAGAGAAGGAGUUUUUACGGUUUGUGGGUAAAGCAGGUGUCACAGACAGAAGCAAACACAAAACAC